UGUUGAUUUAUUUAUCCAAGAGCAUAAAGUCCUCCUUUUUUGCAUCCUUUAGCAAGUAUUCUGCCCUGUUGAGACUUAACCACAAAAUCAUCAGCAAAAAAUUCAACGAAACAAGGAUUGGCGUGGAUCAAUUGUCCAACAGAGAGUAAAGUUUUCUUUAUAUCAGGAACAAUGAGAACAUUUUUCAGACUUAAGCUACCAUUUUUGGUUUUUAGUUGUCCUUCACCAAUAUGAUAAAUGGGAAGGCUUUCACCAUUUCCUACAAAUAUAGAUUCAUUGCCUUAUAUGGAGUAGUUUUGGCAAGUUUACCUAGAUUGUUUAGGAUGUGAGUUGUCACUCCUGAAUCGGCAUAGAGUGAAGAAUCUUCAUGUUCUAGUUUCAUUGCAGCAAGGGCCUUAGGAAUUUGGUCUUCGGGUUGAAAAGAAUGGUCAAACCGAUUCCCACAUUCCAAGGCUGAGUGAUUCAUCUUACCGCAAAUUUGGCAAAUGAUAGCUUGUUCUUUCUUUUUGUUGACGCGAAUCGACACUAUAAUUAGUUGCCUUUGGUUGGUAUGGUAUUUUAUCAUUGAAAUUUGGCCUAGCACUGUAAUUACCAUGGCGCGCUGCUGGAGCAAAGCCUCGUCCUCUCGAGUUAAACCUUCCUCCACCACGAUGUCGUCAUCUUCCUCUUUAUCCGACGAAACCUUGUUCAUGGUUCAAAUGACUGCAACUAUUGAGUUGGUGUUUGCUGCUCUUGCAAACCUGCUUCAGUUUCUUCCAUAAUUGCUAGAGGUUCAGCUACAACAUCUUCUAAUGCAUUUGGCAUAUCUACAUUUUCUCCUGAUGACUCAUCCAGGUCUAUAUCUGAUGAAUUUGUUGCCGUGUGGCUUGGUUGAGGGAGAAUAGAAGGGAUUGCCUCUUCAUUCAUACUUUCAUUGCUUAAGUCUUCCUGAGUUGUAACAGGGCAUCAUCAACAUUUGUUCUUGGUGAACUAGUGUUCAAGUCUACUAGAACAAGAGUGAACUAAUCCUCAUAACAUGCUUCUUCACCUUGAAAAGCAAAGACAUCAUCUCUAAAGUUUACAUCCUUACUGACAAAGAAAAUGUUAGAUUUUAAAUCAGAUAGUUUGUACCCUUUUUGUGUCUUUGAGUACCCUAUCAUUAGUGUCCUCCUUGCUCUAGGAGAAAACUUACCUCCUCUAGGUAGGGUACUAGCAUAGCACAAACAACCAAAUACACUCAAAUGAUAUAUACUUGGUUGUUUACUAUAUAAUAAUUCAUAAGGAGAUCUUUUAUUUAGGA